rnacentral:rRNA from 1 species
UACGAAGGGGGCUAGCGUUGUUCGGAAUUACUGGGCGUAAAGCGCACGUAGGCGGGUUGUUAAGUCAGGGGUGAAAUCCCGGAGCUCAACUCCGGAACUGCCUUUGAUACUGGCAAUCUAGAGACUGGAAGAGGUUAGUGGAAUUCCCAGUGUAGAGGUGAAAUUCGUAGAUAUUGGGAAGAACACCAGUGGCGAAGGCGGCUAACUGGUCCAGUACUGACGCUGAGGUGCGAAAGCGUGGGGGAGCAAACAGG